GCUAUUACACUUGUCAACAUAUAUGCACCCACUAUAGGAACAUCUAAAUAUAUAAAACAAAUAGCAACAGACAUAAAGGGAGAAAUUGAUAGGAAUACAAUAAUAGUAGGAGACUUUAAUACCCCAGUCACAUCAAUGGACAGAUCUUCCAGACAGAAAAUCAAUAAUGCAACAGAUUGUAAAUGACACAAAAGUUAGAUGAUAUUUUCAGGACAUUACAUCAAUCAAUCAAUCAACAAACCCAGAAUACACAUUCUUUUCACGUGUACAUGGAACAUUCUUUGAGAUAUACCACAGAAGAGAGCAAAAAACAAGGCUCAAGAAAGAUAGAAAUUAUUUCAAGCAUCUUUUCUGACCACAAUAGUGUGAAAUUAAAAUCAACUGGAAAUGAGAAAAGAAGAUUAUAUGGAGACUAAAAAACAUGCUAUGAAAAAAAACAGUGGGUUGAUGAACUCAAAGAGGAAAUUAAAAAAUAGCUUGAGACACUGUCUUGAGCAAAUGGUGUUGGGAAA